AUUAACAUCUUUAAUUGUGCAAUCGUUUUUAUUAAAAUUACCGUUUUUAAUAAUGUGAAUAAUUGUCAACAGGUCCGAAUCAAAACUGUCACCCGAAUAUGGGUGACGUGGCAGUCAACCUUGUGAAGAGCCUCAAUCUUUAAACAAAAUCAAUGGUUAAGGAGCAAAAAUAAUCGCCCAACGUGGGGCUCGAACCCACGACCCUGAGAUUAAGAGUCUCAUGCUCUACCGACUGAGCUAGUCAGGCUACAAGGGCUAAAAAAACCGAUGCUGGAGAGUGCAUACGCGAGAAAACCCAGCCCGAAUUUCAACGCUGGGUGUGAUUCAUGGACCUGAAGGACGGACCAUUACCCGCGGUAUUUUGUGACGGAAAACGGAAAGGAUAUUCGCAUAGACGUAUAAGAAUCAUGCAUAUGGAAAUACAGGGAUGGAACAUAAACCCGUACUUUAGACGAGGCAUGUGAAGCCAUCUCCGCAGUGAAGGGAGCCGUUACCAUGGAGAUUCGCGAACACGAGCGCGGACGCUACAUGAAGAGAGCGCCAUUAGUCGCUCCUAGAAAAUGGCCGACUUGACUGUUCCCCCCGCCACGGACGGAGCUUCAUCCCCCUUCAUCUAUAAAAGCAGUUUAUACUCCGUCCUUCAGGACCAUGUUUAGCGCGCGCAAGAGUUUGUAUAAGUUUUACAGACAGGCGGCGUCAAUUAUCGCUCCUAGAAAAUGACCGACUUGGCUGUUCCCCCACCACGGACAGAGCUUCAUCCCCCUUCAUCAAUAAAAGCAGUUUUUAUACUCCGUCCUUCAGGUCCGAUCCGAACAUGCGCGAAUCGUUACCGAUAUAUCGAGAAGUAUCGAGAGAUAUCGAAGGAUUCAAUCUUUUAAAAGGAACAGAAAACGAGCAAUUGCAGCCGGAGUCACAUCGGGAAUCAUCAUUGUUUCGACAAAUAGAAUAAUUUUACAUAAUGUCCCUUCCGAGUGACGGCUUUAUGGGUUUUCCUAUAAUAUGGACGCUUCGACAAAUAUAUAAAUAAAAAUAUGUGUUUCGUAGACGAAAA